GUGGGGAAUAUUGGACAAUGGGCGCAAGCCUGAUCCAGCCAUGCCGCGUGAGUGAUGAAGGCCUUAGGGUUGUAAAGCUCUUUCACCGAUGAAGAUAAUGACGGUAGUCGGAGAAGAAGCCCCGGCUAACUUCGUGCCAGCAGCCGCGGUAAUACGAAGGGGGCUAGCGUUGUUCGGAUUUAAUGGGCGUAAAGCGCACGUAGGCGGUUUGUUAAGUCAGGGGUGAAAUCCCGGAGCUCAACUCCGGAACUGCCUUUGAUACUGGGUACCUAGAGUAUGGAAGAGGUAAGUGGAAUUCCGAGUGUAGAGGUGAAAUUCGUAGAUAUUCGGAGGAACACCAGUGGCGAAGGCGGCUUACUGGUCCAUUACUGACGCUGAGGUGCGAAAGCGUGGGGAGCAAACAGGAUUAGAAACCCCUGUAGUCC
rnacentral:rRNA from 1 species